rnacentral:rRNA from 1 species
GGAGGCAGCAGUGGGGAUUUUGGACAAUGGGGGCAACCAUGCCAUCCAGAGGAUGCCGCGUGAGUGAAGAAGGCCUUCGGGUUGUAAAGCUCUUUCAGCCGGGAAGAAAACGCAUGGGUUAAUACCCUGUGUGGAUGACGGUACCGGAAUAAGAAGCACCGGCUAACUACGUGCCAGCAGCCGCGGUAAUACGUAGGGUGCGAGCGUUAAUCGGAAUUACUGGGCGUAAAGCGUGCGCAGGCGGUUUGUUAAGAUAGGCGUGAAAUCCCCGGGCUCAACCUGGGAACUGCGUUUAUGACUGGCAGGCUAGAGUAUGGCAGAGGGGGGUGGAAUUCCACGUGUAGCAGUGAAAUGCGUAGAGAUGUGGAGGAACACCGAUGGCGAAGGCAGCCCCCUGGGCCAAUACUGACGCUCAUGCACGAAAGCGUGGGUAGCAAACAGGAUUAGAUACCCUGGUAGUCCACGCCCUAAACGAUGUCAACUAGGUGUUGGGAGGGUAAAACCUUUUAGUACCGGAGCUAACGCGUGAAGUUGACCGCCUGGGGAGUACGGCCGCAAGGUUAAAACUCAAAGGAAUUGACGGGGACCCGCACAAGCGGUGGAUGAUGUGGAUUAAUUCGAUGCAACGCGAAAACCUUACCUACCCUUGACAUGUCCGGAAGCCUUAGAGAUUUGGGUGUGCUCGAAAGAGAGCCGGAACACAGGUGCUGCAUGGCUGUCGUCAGCUCGUGUCGUGAGAUGUUGGGUUAAGUCCCGCAACGAGCGCAACCCUUGUCGUUAAUUGCCAUCAUUUAGUUGGGCACUUUAGCGAGACUGCCGGUGACAAACCGGAGGAAGGUGGGGAUGACGUCAAGUCCUCAUGGCCCUUAUGGGUAGGGCUUCACACGUCAUACAAUGGUCGGUACAAAGGGUUGCCAACCCGCGAGGGGGAGCUAAUCCCAGAAAGCCGAUCGUAGUCCGGAUCGUAGGCUGCAACUCGCCUGCGUGAAGUCGGAAUCGCUAGUAAUCGUGGACCAGCAUGUCACGGUGAAUACGUUCCCGGGCCUUGUACACACCGCCAUCACAGUAUGA